rnacentral:rRNA from 1 species
AGCGAACGCUGGCGGCAGGCUUAACACAUGCAAGUCGAACGGGCAUCUUCGGAUGUCAGUGGCAGACGGGUGAGUAACACGUGGGAACGUACCCUUCGGUUCGGAAUAACUCAGGGAAACUUGAGCUAAUACCGGAUACGCCCUUCUGGGGAAAGGUUUACUGCCGAAGGAUCGGCCCGCGUCUGAUUAGCUUGUUGGUGGGGUAACGGCCUACCAAGGCGACGAUCAGUAGCUGGUCUGAGAGGAUGAUCAGCCACACUGGGACUGAGACACGGCCCAGACUCCUACGGGAGGCAGCAGUGGGGAAUAUUGGACAAUGGGCGCAAGCCUGAUCCAGCCAUGCCGCGUGAGUGAUGAAGGCCUUAGGGUUGUAAAGCUCUUUUGUCCGGGACGAUAAUGACGGUACCGGAAGAAUAAGCCCCGGCUAACUUCGUG